UCCGGUUUGUCACCGGCAGUCUCGCAUGAGUCCCCAACUAAAUGCUGGCAACAUACGACGGGGGUUGCGCUCGUUGCGGGACUUAACCCAACAUCUCACGGCACGAGCUGACGACAGCCAUGCAGCACCUGUUCAGCGGCUCCGAAGAGCGUUAACAUUUCUGCUAACUUCCACUGUAUGUCAAAUCUGGGUAAGGUUCUUCGCGUUGCAUCGAAUUAAACCACAUGCUCCACUGCUUGUGCGGGUCCCCGUCAAUUCUUUUGAGUUUCACCCUUGCGAGCGUACUCCCCAGGCGGUAUACUUAUCGCGUUAGCUUCGACACAACCAGGGUUGAGCCCAGUUACAUCAAGUAUACAUCGUUUACGGCAAGGACUAC
rnacentral:misc_RNA from 1 species